UUUAUUGAAACUUCGGUCGAUUUAAUUUAAUUCUAGUGGCGGACGGGUGAGUAACGCGUGGGUAACCUGCCUUAUACAGGGGGAUAACAGUCAGAAAUGGCUGCUAAUACCGCAUAAGCGCACAGAGCUGCAUGGCUCGGUGUGAAAAACUCCGGUGGUAUAAGAUGGACCCGCGUUGGAUUAGCUUGUUGGUGGGGUAACGGCCCACCAAGGCGACGAUCCAUAGCCGGCCUGAGAGGGUGAACGGCCACAUUGGGACUGAGACACGGCCCAGACUCCUACGGGAGGCAGCAGUGGGGAAUAUUGCACAAUGGGGGAAACCCUGAUGCAGCGACGCCGCGUGAAGGAAGAAGUAUCUCGGUAUGUAAACUUCUAUCAGCAGGGAAGAUAGUGACGGUACCUGACUAAGAAGCCCCGGCUAACUACGUGCCAGCAGCCGCGGUAAUACGUAGGGGGCAAGCGUUAUCCGGAUUUACUGGGUGUAAAGGGAGCGUAGACGGUGUGGCAAGUCUGAUGUGAAAGGCAUGGGCUCAACCUGUGGACUGCAUUGGAAACUGUCAUACUUGAGUGCCGGAGGGGUAAGCGGAAUUCCUAGUGUAGCGGUGAAAUGCGUAGAUAUUAGGAGGAACACCAGUGGCGAAGGCGGCUUACUGGACGGUAACUGA
rnacentral:rRNA from 1 species